GCUGCCUUUGCGGAAGCCAGCAGAGCAGCCGAGGCGGCGCUAAAUCAAAUUACCAUACUAACUAGUUAUCUGUGCGCCGAUGUGAGGACAGCACCCUGAAGAAAAGCCUCUCUUAAAAGUCAAGACACCUCCGAGUCCGGCCUCAUUUUGUUGGGAUCUUCCUGCCGUCCGCCUGCAGAGGAGAUGGGGGACAAGGCGGGCACCAGAGUUUUUAAGAAGUCGAGCCCCAACUGUAAGUUGACAGUUUACCUGGGAAAGCGAGACUUCGUGGACCACCUGGACCACGUGGACCCAGUAGAUGGCGUGAUCCUCGUCGACCCAGAGUACCUGAAGGACAGGAAAGUCUUCGUCACGCUGACUUGUGCGUUUCGAUAUGGACGCGAGGACCUGGACGUGCUCGGUCUGUCCUUCCGGAAGGAUCUCUACAUCUCCACCUUCCAGGCCUUCCCUCCGGUGCCCGAGGAGCGGAAACCCAACAGUCGGCUGCAGGAGAGGCUGCUGAAGAAGCUCGGCCAGCACGCACACCCCUUCUACUUCACCAUUCCUCAGAACCUUCCCUGUUCAGUCACCUUACAGCCUGGACCCGAGGACACCGGCAAGGCCUGCGGUGUUGACUUUGAGAUCAGAGCUUUCUGUGCCAAGUCAAUAGAAGAGAAGAUUCACAAGAGGAACUCGGUGCGUCUGGUGAUCAGGAAGGUCCAGUACGCUCCGGAGAAGCCCGGUCCUCAGCCGAUGGUGGAGACCACCCGCAGCUUCCUGAUGUCUGACAGAUCUCUGCACCUGGAGGCCUCACUGGACAAAGAGCUGUAUUAUCACGGCGAGCCAAUCAGCGUCAACGUCCACGUCACCAACAACUCCGCCAAGACCGUCAAGAGGGUCAAGAUCUCCGUGCGUCAGUACGCAGACAUCUGCCUGUUCAGUACUGCCCAGUAUAAAUGUCCAGUGGCCCAGGUGGAGGCAGACGACCAGGUGUCAUCCAGCUCCACCUUCUGUAAGGUGUACACUCUGACUCCAACACUGGACAAGAACAGAGAGAAGAGAGGACUGGCUCUGGAUGGGAAGCUCAAACACGAAGACACCAACCUGGCCUCGUCCACCAUUGUGAAGGAAGUCGCCAACAAGGAGGUCCUGGGGAUCCUCGUGUCCUACAGAGUCAAAGUCAAGCUGGUGGUGUCACGUGGAGGGCUGCUGCGAGGCUUAUUGGAGAGAGACGUGUCAGUGGAGCUGCCCUUCAUCCUAAUGCAUCCUAAACCUCCCGAGCCACCGGCGUCCCGCCCAGAGUCAGCUGUGCCGGAAACGGACCCACCCAUCGAUACCAAUUUGAUAGAGUUCGACACAAACAUCUCCCAAGACGACGACUUUGUCUUCGAGGACUUCGCCCGCCUGCGGCUUAAAGGUGUCGUGGAUGACAAGGACGAGGACUGCUAGGAGCUCGCCAACCCUUCAUAUGCUCGCUUCAAAACCACCACACACACACACACACACACACACACACACACACACACACACUCAGAGAAGUCUUACAAGCAACUGAAGCUCGAUUUCACCAGCAUCCGCUCUCCUCCAGCUCCAACCUGUCGUCCAUGUUCAGAAACGUUCACCAUGCUUUUCACCUUAUUUUUUUUUUUUUUAAUUAUAAAAAAAAAACAUUCCAGCGCUGACUGAGUUUUCUCUUUAUUUACAUCCCAGAGAUUAUCUUUGCUUAUCUUUUUUCCUCUCAACAAAGUACAUGAAAAGAUGAAAACUAAAAUUUUAGCUCUAUUAGGCAGGUGCUGGAUAAUUCUGGAUAGUUCUUUCUUUUGGUCUGGAUUUUAAUCUGGAGUGAAUUUUAUUCCAACAAACCUCCAUAAUCCCUCAAAUCAGAAAAAGAGCCAGUUUCAGGUUUACCUCGAUGGUAGUUGUCAGUAUGUUGUUGGGUGCAUCACAGAGAGGAGCGGUUAAGAGAAUCCAGUAACAGACUAAAGCUAAAAAUAAAGCUCAAACCAGCAGCAUGUGGAAGAAUUUAUUGGAGGCUUGUCCGAGAUUGAUCUAAAUAUGUUAAGGUCCUAUUUUGCCCAUUGAUUUUAAAGGUGCAUUGGUUUUUAGCGUUGCACCUCUAUUAUGAUUUUUUUUUUGUUUUGUUUUGUUUUGUUUGUCCUUGAUGAACGUAUUUUGGAGCCUGAAUCCUGGACAAGCCCCCAAAUAAGUAACAGUGCUGUCUCAUCCUUUUAGCUGUGGAUUUAGAAACUGUAAGUGUUACACUGGUUCCUAAAAUGGCCCAAACAAAACUGAUACUGAUUUAUUUUUAGUUUGCUGAAAAACUGGAAGUAAUGCAUCUGUAUGUUUGUCAGGUGAGGGGGAUGAAAGAUUAUCCCAUCUGACUGGAUUUUAUAUUAUCAGAGGAUAAAAAUCAGACUGGUAGAUUCACAGAUGUUUAGAUUGAUUUGUUGUUUUUUUUUUUUUUUUUUUUUCGGUUGUCUUUUCAUUGCAUUUGUUGACACAAACACCCGGUUUCACCAGAUUCUCAGAUUGUUCUUUUAUUGGUGCACAUGGUUUGGGGAUGUUUGUGACGUUUGAAAGUUUAUACACAAAUCAGGGAGGUCACCGAUAGUCAUGAUUUUAAUUUAUAUCCUAGAUUGUUUUAUUUUUCUCUGAAAGAACUAAAGAACACUGAAGUUUGAAAAACAAAAAAGCUCUGAUCACGCUGGAAUUGUUUUUUUGUUUUUAUUUGUUUGGUUUUGUUUUUUUUGGUUGUUCGCUUUGUUUUUUUUAAACUUUGGACCAGAUUUGGACCUUGAGUCACUGGACAGAUUUUUGACUUUCAUCCAAUCUAUUUGUUUGUUUCACUUUCAGGUUUACAAUUAGUUGGCCAAGAAGAAUUUUUAAAAGAGAAAAAAGACAUGUUAAAAUAAAGUCUGUUUCUCCUGUUGGCUCUUAAAAUAGAAACGGUCUGUGACUCGAUGCGGUUGGUUUAACUCGCCAUCGUGGGCUUGUUGAAGGGAAACUCUGGUGCUCUUUGUUUGAUUUGUUUUCACUCAUUGGUCCAAACUCACUUUGAACAAGUGUUUAGAUAGUUAUUUUGAAGCGUCACAUCUGAGUUUAGUCACCACAGGAAACUGCGUCGUGCCUUUAAGGUCUAACUGUUGCCAACACGAUGAUCUCUGAAUUUUUGUGACUGAAAAGAACUCGCAACAUGAAUAACUGUUGAUUUAAAAAGGCUGAGUAUAUUUGAGAUAUUUCAGUUUAGCAGCACCGCAUAGUGUUAUUUUUCUGUAAUUAAAGUUCAUUCACAGUUAUUAAAUUGCAGCUUCAGGGAAAUCAACUAUUAAACAAUAUUCUUGUAAAUAUAAUUUUAAAACUUUUUAUAUUCAUUUUAAUUAAAAAAAAAAGCCAUUUUUUUCUGAUAUAACUUUCACCUAAAGU